rnacentral:piRNA from 1 species
UGGUUACAUGUGCCCUUGUUGUGAGAGG